rnacentral:rRNA from 1 species
GAUGAACGCUGGCGGCGUGCCUAAUACAUGCAAGUCGAGCGGCAGCACGGUCUUCGGACUGGUGGCGAGCGGCGGACGGCUGAGUAACGCGUAGGAACAUGCCCUAAAGUGAGGAAUAACUGCCCGAAAGGGUGGCUAAUGCCGCAUAUGCUCUUCGGAGUAAAGCUUUAUGCGCUUUAGGAGUGGCCUGCGUCCGAUUAGCUUGUUGGUGAGGUAAUGGCUCACCAAGGCGACGAUCGGUAGCUGGUCUGAGAGGAUGAUCAGCCAGACUGGAACUGAGAACGGUCCAGACUCCUACGGGAGGCAGCAGUAGGGAAUUUUCCACAAUGGGCGAGAGCCUGAUGGAGCAACGCCGCGUGCAGGAUGAAUGCCUUCGGGUUGUAUACUGCUUUUAUGUGCGAAGAAUUUGACUGUAACACAUGAAUAAGGAUCGGCUAACUACGUGCCAGCCGCCGCGGUAA